GACAGAGGUGCCGAGCGUUAGGCGGAAUCACUGGGCUUAAAGCGUGUGUAGGCGGACUUCUAAGUACCUUGUGAAAUCCCACGGCUCAACCGUGGAACUGCUUGGUAUACUGGUCGUCUUGAGCCAUCUAGGGGCUGUCGGAACAAAUGGUGGAGCGGUGAAAUGCGUAGAUAUCAUUUGGAACGCCAAAGGUGAAAACAGACAGCUGGGGAUGUACUGACGCUGAGACACGAAAGCCAGGGGAGCGAACGGG
rnacentral:rRNA from 1 species